rnacentral:rRNA from 1 species
AACGAACGCUGGCGGCAGGCCUAACACAUGCAAGUCGAACGCUGUAGCAAUACAGAGUGGCAGACGGGUGAGUAACACGUGGGAACGUACCCUUCGGUUCGGAAUAACUCAGGGAAACUUGAGCUAAUACCGGAUACGUCCGAGAGGAGAAAGAUUUAUCGCCGAAGGAUCGGCCCGCGUCUGAUUAGCUUGUUGGUGAGGUAACGGCUCACCAAGGCGACGAUCAGUAGCUGGUCUGAGAGGAUGAUCAGCCACAUUGGGACUGAGACACGGCCCAAACUCCUACGGGAGGCAGCAGUGGGGAAUAUUGGACAAUGGGCGCAAGCCUGAUCCAGCCAUGCCGCGUGAGUGAUGAAGGCCCUAGGGUUGUAAAGCUCUUUUACUCGGGAAGAUAAUGACGGUACCGAGAGAAUAAGCCCCGGCUAACUUCGUG